rnacentral:rRNA from 1 species
GGUUAAGCGACUAAGCGUACACGGUGGAUGCCCUGGCAGUCAGAGGCGAUGAAGGACGUGCUAAUCUGCGAUAAGCGUCGGUAAGGUGAUAUGAACCGUUAUAACCGGCGAUUUCCGAAUGGGGAAACCCAGUGUGAUUCGUCACACUAUCAUUAACUGAAUCCAUAGGUUAAUGAGGCGAACCGGGGGAACUGAAACAUCUAAGUACCCCGAGGAAAAGAAAUCAACCGAGAUUCCCCCAGUAGCGGCGAGCGAACGGGGAGCAGCCCAGAGCCUGAAUCAGUGUGUGUGUUAGUGGAAGCGUCUGGAAAGGCGCGCGAUACAGGGUGACAGCCCCGUACACAAAAAUGCACAUACUGUGAGCUCGAUGAGUAGGGCGGGACACGUGGUAUCCUGUCUGAAUAUGGGGGGACCAUCCUCCAAGGCUAAAUACUCCUGACUGACCGAUAGUGAACCAGUACCGUGAGGGAAAGGCGAAAAGAACCCCGGCGAGGGGAGUGAAAAAGAACCUGAAACCGUGUACGUACAAGCAGUGGGAGCACAGAGCAAUCUGUGUGACUGCGUACCUUUUGUAUAAUGGGUCAGCGACUUAUAUUCUGUAGCAAGGUUAACCGAAUAGGGGAGCCGAAGGGAAACCGAGUCUUAACUGGGCGUUAAGUUGCAGGGUAUAGACCCGAAACCCGGUGAUCUAGCCAUGGGCAGGUUGAAGGUUGGGUAACACUAACUGGAGGACCGAACCGACUAAUGUUGAAAAAUUAGCGGAUGACUUGUGGCUGGGGGUGAAAGGCCAAUCAAACCGGGAGAUAGCUGGUUCUCCCCGAAAGCUAUUUAGGUAGCGCCUCGUGAAUUCAUCUCCGGGGGUAGAGCACUGUUUCGGCAAGGGGGUCAUCCCGACUUACCAACCCGAUGCAAACUGCGAAUACCGGAGAAUGUUAUCACGGGAGACACACGGCGGGUGCUAACGUCCGUCGUGAAGAGGGAAACAACCCAGACCGCCAGCUAAGGUCCCAAAGUCAUGGUUAAGUGGGAAACGAUGUGGGAAGGCCCAGACAGCCAGGAUGUUGGCUUAGAAGCAGCCAUCAUUUAAAGAAAGCGUAAUAGCUCACUGGUCGAGUCGGCCUGCGCGGAAGAUGUAACGGGGCUAAACCAUGCAC